CACAGAAAAGAGAUGAGAAGAAAUGGGAAGAAAUUCUCCAUCUGUUGCUUAUUAAAAAUAGAGAAGACAAUGGUAAUGGAUCAUCGGGUUAAUGAUCUACCAGAAAUAUUGCCCUUUUGUUCAUCCAGGAAAUACCAGAUGGAAAUUGGUAUUGUCUGCAGUGCGCUUGCCAGAUCUGUGGCAAGGGGAUGGAUGAAAAGGAGGCUUUACUACCUCUUGGAAUGCUGAAAUGCUCCCAGUGCCAAAAUAUGUGGAGGUUCUCCUGUCUCCUGUUAUGCAUUAUCUUCAUAUAUCAUGAGGGUUGUGUGGAAGAACAUGAUAGCAAAUUAGACAUAUCCUCUGAUACCUGGUGCUGUUCUGCGACAUGCCAAGGGGUCUAUCUUGGUCUUCAAGCAAACAUUGGUCGUCCAAUCCUGCUUCUGAUGGAUUUCGCUGGACACUUUUGAAGUGCAUCAAUGGUGAUCAGCAAGCUCAUUCUGCACAGAGUUUUCUAGCAUUAAAGGCAUAAUACAACUCAAAGCUAGCUGUUGUGCCUCAAAUGAUGGAGGAAUAUUUUGACCCAAUGGUGGAUCCAAGAUCCAUUGUUAAUAUGAUACCACAACUAAUAUACAAUUGGGGCUCUAAGUUUCCUUGUGAAGAUUGUAGUCGGUUCUACACAGUGGUCUUGGAGAAAGGCGACACCUUGAUCGCUUUAGCAUCAAUCAGAUGCAUUAAUGAGAAGAAACCACCGUGUGUCAUGCUGUUUGUUUACUACCAAAAGUCAAUAGUAUGAGUAACUGUUUUUGGCCACCAAUGAACAUGUCUUAACCAGAAAAAGUUUUUAACUCAAUACAAGAUAUGCUUCUGGAGACACUAUUGAGUCAGAGUAGUAUUCUGCUGCAACUAGAGGUUCUAGUUCAGAAUUAGAUGUAUAGCUAAGGUAUAGACCUGUAUCUUUUAAAUUUGGCUUUGUGGUGAGGCAUGUAAAUUGAUCCUAGUCCGAGAGCAUGGUAGCAACGUCAUGCUGUGUCUGCUCCUGUUUUAAGAUCAGAGAUGAUUUUUCCUGUAUUGCAGUCUUCUCUGAGAUAUUACGCAUGAAAAGUUCUGAAUAUUGUCCUUCUUGACUCCCUCUAUGGAAUGCUAGAUCUUUUGCAUGUUGA